CCUACGGGAGGCUGCAGUGAGGAAUAUUGGUCAAUGGACGAGAGUCUGAACCAGCCAAGUAGCGUGAAGGAUGACUGCCCUAUGGGUUGUAAACUUCUUUUAUAUGGGAAUAAAAUGCUCCACGUGUGGUGUUUUGUAUGUACCAUAUGAAUAAGGACCGGCUAAUUCCGUGCCAGCAGCCGCGGUAAUACGGAGGAUCCGAGGGUUAUCCGGAUUUAUUGGGUUUAAAGGGAGCGUAGGUGGAUUGUUAAGUCAGUCGUGAAAGGUGGCGGCUCAACCGUGGAAGUGCAGUUGAAACUGGCAGUCUUGAGUGCAGUAGAGGUGUGCGGAAUUCGGGGUGUAGCGGGGAAAUGCUUAGAUAUCACGAAGAACUCCGAUUGCGAAGGCAGCUCACUGGACUGCAACUGACACUGAGGCUCGAAAGUGUGGGUAUCAAACAGGAUUAGAUACCCCAGUAGUC
rnacentral:rRNA from 1 species